CAGUCGCCGCGGGAAUACGUAGGUGGCAAGCGUUGUCCGGAAUUAUUGGGCGUAAAGCGCGCGCAGGUGGUUUAAUAAGUCUGAUGUGAAAGCCCACGGCUCAACCGUGGAGGGUCAUUGGAAACUGUUAAACUUGAGUGCAGGAGAGAAAAGUGGAAUUCCUAGUGUAGCGGUGAAAUGCGUAGAGAUUAGGAGGAACACCAGUGGCGAAGGCGACUUUUUGGCCUGUAACUGACACUGAGGCGCGAAAGCGUGGGGAGCAAACAGGAUUAGAGACCCGCGUAGUCCCUGUCUCUUAUAC
rnacentral:rRNA from 1 species